rnacentral:tRNA from 1 species
GGGCCCGUAGCUCAGCGGUUAGAGCAGCGGACUCAUAAUCCGUUGGUCGUAGGUUCGAAUCCUACCGGGCCCACUA